GCCCCCGUAGUCCAACCGGCAGAGACAGUGGAUUCAAAACCCACCCAGUGUGCGUUCGAAUCGCACCGGGGGCA
rnacentral:tRNA from 6 species